rnacentral:tRNA from 1 species
GGACGGCCGCGGACCCGGUCGGUGCCCGCCCUUCCGGGGCGGGGUCGGCGUCUGCUAUGCUGAUCGACGGCUCCGGGGCUGUCACAGUCCC